rfam:Dipodomys ordii contig_5828, whole genome shotgun sequence.
GGCAAGGUGGCUCAGUGGUAGAGCACUUGCCUUGCAUGCAUGAGGCCCUGGGUUCGAUUCCCCAGUGCCA